rnacentral:sRNA from 1 species
GCAGGGUGUGGUGGCAUGCACCUGUGGUCUCAGCAACUUGGAAGUCUGAGGCAAGAGGUUUGCUGGAGCCUAGGAGUUAAGAAGCCAGCAUGAGCAACACAGCAAGACCCUGUCUCUA